UUUUCGAGAUUAACCUCACUAAUAAGCAGCUUCAGGAAAGAACUUGAACAUACAUUCUGCUAUUCAAAAACUGCAGCAAACUAAAAAUAUUCUGGAGGAAUUCAGAAGUGAUGAAGGGUUCAAAAGAACACUGGUAGAUUCUCUCGAGCUUGCUGAAGAAAUAGACUUUCCAACAGAAUUUGAACCAGAGCCAGUUCGCAUUCAGCAAAAGAAACAGCAGUUUUCGUAUGAAGGACGAGACACACCCAUUCAGAACCCAAAACAAAGGUUCAAAGUGAAUUUCUACUU